GCUGGGAGCCCCCGAACCUCGGGGCUCAACACCUCCGUGGUGUUCGGCUUCCUGAACCUGGUGCUGUGGACGGGCAACCUUUGGUUCGUGUUCAAGGAGACCGGCUGGGGGGGCCUGGGGGCCCGCGCCCCUCCCCCGGGGGGGGUCCCCGAAAAAGCCCCGGCCCCGGAAGGGGGGUACGGCCCCCCCGAGGGGGGGUACGGCCAGCCCGGGGGGGGCUACGGCCAGCCCGGGGGGGGCUACCAGCCCGACUACGGCCAGGGGGGGUACGGGGGGCCCCCCUCGGAGGGGGGGUACGGCCAGGGAGCCCCCACCUCCUUCGCCAACCAGAUGUAGGGUCCUCCCCUCCAGCAGGGGGCGCUGUGCCGAAGAGCCGCCCCGCGCGGCGGCGAUCGGGGGCGGGGCCUGGGGCUGAGCCACGCCCCCAAGGGGGACGGGACCGUGGAGUGGGCGGGGCUUGACCCCUCCCAUAGAACCCCCGCCCCAAUGAAUCCCCUAAAACCCCCCCAAAACCACCCAAAUCCCCCCAAAAUCCCCCUCACAGCCCCUCCCCCACCUCACGGCCGUGCCAAAGCUGCCCUUCCCGCCCCCCCCGGCCGUGCCCCUCCCCCACCCCACGCCCUCUCCCCCUCCGUGUCUUUGUGCCGUGAUUGUGACGUUUUGGGGGCGCCCCCGGCUGCCCCCCCUCAAUGCCCCCCCCCAAACAAAAUAAUGUGGGGCAGGGCCGGGGGUGGGGGGCGGGGGCUGAGCCCCCCCUGGGACCCCCCCGGAGGGAAUAA